GAGUUAGGGUCCUCUGGGCUCGAUCUCCAACCCUGUGUCUAAAUAACCACGUUGCUUUGGCGGGCCCGCCUGUAAUGGGCCGCCGGGGGUGCCUUCGGCCCCCUGGUCAGCGCCUGCCAGUAGCCAUCUCAAACUCUUCUUAAUCGUGACGUCUGAGUAAAAAUUAGAAAUUAAACAAAACUUUCAACAACGGAUCUCUUGGUUCU
rnacentral:misc_RNA from 1 species